rnacentral:misc_RNA from 1 species
CGCCAGUCUCAGUAGCACCCGCGCCGCCGUCGCACCACCAGUGCCGUCUCGUGUCGCUCGCCCGCCCUCACACCCACCCACCUGAGAGCCUCCUCUAACGCCACGCCCAGGCUGAGCUGCACAGCCUUUGGCACUUGUUUGGGUCGCAGCCCCCUGUUGACGGAAGUGUCAAGACCCGUGCCAUCCCUGCCAAAAGUUUGACAAGUGCUUUCUAGUAACAGUUUUUAACGUGGAUUACUACACCCAUUCAUGUAAAGAUGCAGGACGUGCAAGGGGAGCAGUUAGUUCCCUCGUGCAAGUAAGGGCGAGGAGUGCAGUGUCUUCAUGUUCCAGAGUGCUGGAAUAUAAUUUCAAAGUUAAAGUUGGUGGGAUAGUUACAAAAUAUUAAUAUUAUAAGUGUGGUUGUGUAGAAAAUAAGAGCCUUUGCUAACAGUUUCUAUAAGUUAUACAUGAAGUGAAAUGCUGGUGUAUUUUGGCAUCAAGUGUAACUCAGUGCAGUAUGGGUAAUAGUGAAGGAAAGUUAACAACAGGAAGGAGGCAUGUAGAUCUACCGUACGAUACUGCGCGGCCCUUGCCACCAUUACCCAGCGACGAAGAGGAGGAGGCAGAUGAUCUAGACCUUGACUCGCCGCCCCCAUACCCGCCUCCACCGCCACCAGGGGAGGAACAUAAGCGGUACUCUUGGCGCUUCAGGGACUCCGCCGUCUUUGGCCAGAGUGAAAACAAAAGGCGCUCGUGGCUACUCAACUUCACCAACGGAGGCGACAGUAAGGCAAAAAGUAAACUGGUGAAAGACGGUAAGGAUGUCAAUGAUGUUCACAUAAACACAGGUACAGGUAGCAGGGAAUUUUCGAGUGUCCCCGGUGUGAGAGGGUCGAGUCAGGAGACCCAACUAGACAAUCAAAGUGGGGAGUCGUGGAAAGUUGAGAGCAAAGUUGAAGGAGAUACGGACGUAAGUGGUGAGACACAGUUGUUCACAUACCAAAUUAUGAAUAAGGAUUCCACUAUGGAUUCACAGGGAGACUUCGGUCACCCAACCUGGCAGAUACGAGACGGCAAGCUCAUCAGUGUGACCAAGGACAUUGUCAAAGGAGAAGACAACGACGCCCCUGGAUACAGUCUUCUCCACGAAUGCGUCAGACACGACCAGCGGACCGGCCUGCCGUCCCUGGAUAUAAGUACUAAUGCGAAUAUGAACGAAGACUUGAAAAAUGUCAUAGACGAACUACGUGGAAAACCCCACCACGUAGAAGGAAAGACUUCUGUCAAGACUGUCUCAGAUGGCAAAGGAGGUUAUGUUAAAGUCACAACUACUGAGAGGACUGUUGCCUCCCAAGUCAGUAUUAAUGGGAGGGAUAUAAAAUCAACUCCAACUGAUUCGUUGAGUAAACUUGAAGCAGAGCUGACUGCCCUGCUCUCUCCCGAGCUAGACAUGCGUGGUGAGGUAGGUGUGCCCAGAAUAAAUGGAACAAACCUGGAUGCUCAAAGUUCUCUGUCCACAGAAAACAGGAUGAUAUCAGGAGUACAUAGUAAUGGCGACAUGGGGGGUAGUAGUCAGACAUACAGUUCACGUACACGGCAAACAUACAACAUAUCAGUUACACCAAAUCUUCCUCUACCCGAUAUACAGGAAUUCUCUGGCAAAGGUGUUCCAUUACUGCCAGACCUUGUGAAAGGUAAUCGUGGGUCAGCGUUGGAAUACAAGAGUUCAGUGGGGAGCCCUGAUAAGUCAUUUGAUAGUGGGGUAAACGUAGACACAUCGGGUUACGGGGCUGAUGGGCGGGGUCCUGAUCUGUCUUUUGGGUUUGACGGUACAGCGCCACACAAGACAUUAGCAAGUCGUGAGCCUCAUUCCUCGAAACUGGAAGGUAAUUUAGAUUUCAGAGCUGAUGUGCCACAUAUCCAAGGAGAUGUGAAAGGGAAUGCUCCAAGUUCCAGUUUCCGAAUCGGUGCCCCGGGAGUUGAUGCAAGUGUACCAGUUGGUGGAAGUCAACCAAACUGGGAUAUUCAUGCAACAGGAAAAGUGCCUUCUGCAGCAGUUUCUCUGUCACCCUUUGAAGGCGAUAAUUCUGCUGAUCCAAGUAUUAAUAUUUCAGUUCCCAAAGGCAAAGCCAAAAUAGAUGUUGACUCUCCUAAAGUCAAAGGAGAAAAGCCCAAAACAAAACUAGGUUCUUGUUUUGGCAAGCCUAAGAGUCCUAAAAUUGACAAUGAACAUGAACAAGGUCAAAUAGACGUUGAAGGUCCCGAGGUGAGUGUGAGUGCUUGUGCCAGACCUCCCUCAGCUAACACUGAUGUUGAUUCACCCAAUGUUAAAGUAAAAGGCGGUAAACCAAAGGGCAAACUCGGAUCGUGCUUUGGCAAACCUGAGGGUCCGAAAGUUGAAGGUGAAUAUAAACCAAGCAAGGUAGAUCUUGAGAGUCCAAAGGCCAGUAUUAGUGUUGAUGCUGGACCUCAUGAAGCCCACGCUGAUAUUGACAUUGAUGCACCCGAAGUAAGUAUGAAAGUUGGCACACCAGACGCUGACAUAGACGUCGAGUCACCAAAAGUAAAAGUCAAAGCUGAUAAACCAAAGGCCAAAUUGGGAUCCUGCUUCGGUAAACCCAAAACACCUGAUGUUGAAGGUGAAAGUAAACGAGGUAAAGUAGAUUUAGAAGAUCCAGAAGUCAGUAUUAAACCUCCUAAGCUCAAAGCAGACAUUGACAUUGACUCUUCAGAAGUGAGGGUGAAAGCUGGAAAACCAGAGGUUGAUUUGGACGUGGAGUCGCCAAAAGUAAAAGUCAAAGCUGAUAAACCAAAGGCUAAAUUGGGAUCCUGCUUCGGUAAACCAAGUAGUCCUAAGGUACAGGGAGAAUAUACACCAGGUAAAAUUGAACUUGAGGGAUCUGAAAUCAGUGCUGGAACAAGUAUCAAAGGUCCAGAAGCAGAAGCCAACGUUGAUAUUGAAUCACCAGAUGUAAAAAUAAAAGGCGGAAAAGGAAUUAAAAAACCCAAAGCGAAAGUUGGAUCAUGCUUUGGCAAACCCAAAGGAUCUCAACUUGAAGCUGCUUACCAACCUGGAGAGAUAAAGGUUGAGGGACCUGAAGUACCGAAAGUACGAGCUGAAGUUCCUUCAAUAGAAGGCAAAUUGGAUGUAAAACCACCAAGUGCUGACAUCAGUCCCUCACUUGAAGUAGAAAUUCCUCAAGUUCCUGAAGUGAAAAGAGGAGUUGGAAUUGUUGUUGACGCACCCAAAAUUGAGCCAAAAUUGAAAAUAAAAGGUGAUAUUCCAGAUUUACCUAAAGUUGAGGCCAACUUAGGAGGUAGAGCUGAUGUUCCCACAAUACCCGCAAUGGAAGGGGGAGUUGCCGUUAAUGUUAACAUACCAAAAAGUGAACCAAGACUAAGAAUUAAUGCUGAUAUUCCAGAUAUUCCCAAAGUUGAGUCCAAGUUGGGAGCAAAGGCUGAUGUUCCAGGCAUGGAUAUAAAGUAUGACAGUCCUGCAGCUCCUGGGAUUAAAGGAAAUGUCGAUCUCAAUGUCACAUCACCUGAAUUUAAACCUGAUGUUAAACUAGAGGGUGAAAUUCCAGGAUUACCAAAGGGCGAGGCAGGUUUUGACUUUGGAGGAACCAUCCCAAGCUUUUCAGACAAAAAGGGAUUAGAUAUUUCAGUGCCAGAUAUCCCAAGUCCAAAGAUUGAAGCAGGAAUCGAAGCUGAUUUACCAUCUGUUGAUCUUCCUCAAGCUAACAUUUCAUUACCAUCAGUCCCCGCUGUCCCAGCGGCUGAGAUUAAGGGAGAAGUAAAGACUCCAGAAUUAUCUGGGUCAGUGAAGAUGCCACAACCUGAAGUGAAGGCCAAGAAAGCCAAACUAGGUCCAUGUGCUUGUCUAGGUAAACCAGGAAAAAUUAAAAAGGAAGAGCCAUACAUGUCUGCUAAACUUGAAGGAAAAGCUCCAGGAGAGAUAAAAGAUGUAGAUGUGGGACUGGAGGUAGAAGGACCAGAAGCACAAGCAUCCAUCGGUGUGGAAGCCCCCGAGAUCAAGAGUAAGAAGGUAAAAGUAUCAGGAAAGCCUAAAUCAUCUUUAGGAUCUUGUUUCGGUAAACCUAAGACUCCUUCAGUAAGUGGAGAAUAUGCAGCUGAUGCUGAUGUGGGAGCAUCAGUGUCUGUAGAUCCUCAUAUUAAGGUAGAGGGCGAAGGUCUUGCUGGUCCCAGUGUUAGUGUUGAUGCUCCCGAGGGCAAGGCUAAGAUGGAUGUUGGAUCUCCGGAAGUGAAAGUAAAAGGAGGAAAACCCAAAGCUAAAUUGGGAUCAUGUUUCGGUAAGCCUAAGAGUCCAGAAAUUGAAGGUGAAUAUAAGCCAGGUCAAAUUGAAGGCCCAGAGGCAAGUGUUGGGGCCAGUGUUAAAUCCCCAGAAGCCAAGGGUGACAUUAGUAUUGAGUCUCCAGACGCUAAAGUAAAGACAGGAAAGCCCAAGGCUAAUUUAGGUUCAUGUUUCGGCAAACCCAAGAGUCCUAAAGUGGAAGGUGAAUAUAAGCCAGGUAAAGUCGACAUUGAAGGACCACACUUAGAAGGGAGUGCCAGUAUUGAACCUCUUGAAGCCAGAGCGGAUAUUGACAUAGAUGCACCGGAUGUAAAGGUAAAGGGAAGUAGACCAAAGGCUGAUAUAGACAUAGAUUCCCCAGAGGUGAAGGUGAAAGCCCAAAAGCCAAAGUCUAAGUUGGGAUCUUGUUUUGGUAAACCAAAGAGCCCCCAAAUUGAAGGUGAAUAUAAGCCAGGCAGAGGAGACCUGGAAGGUCCAGAAGUCAUUGUUGCUUCUCCUGAGGCUAAGGCAGAUGUCAACAUUGAAAGUCCAGAUGUAAAAGUGAAAGGAGGUAAACCAAAAGCUAAGUUUGGGUCUUGUUUCGGCAAGCCAAAGACUCCAAAGGUUGAAGGAGAAUAUAAAGCAGGUGAAGUUGAACUUGAGGGCCCCGAGGUCGGUACCGGAGCAGGCUUGAAAACACCCGAAGUUAAAGCAGACAUUGAUAUUGAAUCACCAGAUGUGAAAGUGAAAGGUGGGAAGGGAAGUGGGAAGCCUAAAAUGAAGGUUGGAUCAUGCUUUGGCAAACCCAAAGGACCUAAACUUGAAGCUGCUUACCAACCUGGAGAGAUAAAGGUUGAGGGACCUGAAGUACCAAAAAUACGAGCUGCAGUUCCUUCAGUAGAAGGCAAAUUGGAUGUAAGAUCACCAAGUGCUGACAUCAGUCCCUCACUUGAAGUAGACAUUCCUGAAGUAAAAGGAGGGGUUGGAUUUGAUGUUGAUGUACCCAAAAUAGAGCCCAAAUUGAAAAUAGAAGGAGAUAUUCCAGAUUUACCAAAAGUAGAAGCCAAGCUGGGAGGCAAAGCAAAUGUUCCUGAUUUAGAAGUUGAAGGUAACAUACCCAAUCUUCCCGAAAUAAAGGCAGAUGUUGAUAUCAAUGCCGCCAUACCUGAUCUUAAACCUAAGAUAAAACUGGAAGGAAAUAUUCCAGACCUUCCAGAGGCAGAUGCUAGCUGGGAUAUUGGUGCAAACAUCCCUGGUAUUUCAGGGGAUGUAAAAGAACUGGAUAUAUCAUUGCCUGACAUACCAAGUCCAAAGAUUGAUGUAGAAAUGAAAGGUGAUUUACCAACUGUUGAUCUUCCUGAAGCUAAGAUUUCACUUCCAUCAGUCCCCGCUGUCCCAGCGGCUGAGAUUAAGGGAGAAGUAAAGACUCCAGAAUUAUCUGGGUCAGUGAAGAUGCCACAACCUGAAGUGAAGGCCAAGAAAGCCAAACUAGGUCCAUGUGCUUGUCUAGGUAAACCAGGAAAAAUUAAAAAGGAAGAACCAUACAUGUCUGCUAAACUUGAAGGAAAAGCUCCAGGAGAGAUAAAAGAUGUAGAUGUGGGACUGGAGGUAGAAGGACCAGAAGCACAAGCAUCCAUCGGUGUGGAAGCCCCCGAGAUCAAGAGUAAGAAGGUAAAAGUAUCAGGAAAGCCUAAAUCAUCUUUAGGUUCUUGUUUCGGUAAACCUAAGACUCCUUCAGUAAAUGCAGAAUACGAAGCAGAUGCUGGUGUGGAAGCAUCAGUGUCUGUAGAUCCUCAUAUAAAGGUAGAGGGCGAAGGAGUUACUGGUCCCAGUGUUAGUGUUCCCGAGGGCAAGGCUAAUAUUGAUAUUGAAUCUCCAGAAGUCAAAGUAAAAGGAGGAAAACCCAAAGCUAAAUUGGGAUCAUGUUUCGGGAAACCGAAGGCUCCGGAAAUUGAAGGUGAAUAUAAGCCAGGUAAAAUUGAAGGCCCAGAGGCAAGUGUCGGAGCUAGUAUUAAAUCCCCAGAAGCCAAGGGUGACAUUUCAGUUGAGUCUCCAGAUGCUAAAAUCAAAACAGGAAAGCCCAAAGCUAAAUUGGGUUCAUGUUUCGGCAAACCCAAGAGUCCUAAAGUGGAAGGAGAAUAUAAACCAGCUAAAGUUGACAUUGAAGGACCAAGCAUUGAAGGGAGUGCCAGUGUUGAACCUCUUCAAGCCAGAGCGGAUAUUGACAUAGAUACUCCUGAUGUAAAGGUAAAGGGAAGUAGACCCGAGGCUAAUAUAGACAUAGAUUCCCCAGAGGUGAAGGUGAAAGCCCAAAAGCCAAAGUCUAAGUUGGGAUCUUGUUUUGGUAAACCAAAGAGCCCCCAAAUUGAAGGAGAAUAUAAGCCAGGUAAAGCAGAACUGGAAGGUCCAGAAGUGGUUGUUGCUUCUCCUGAGGUUAAGGCAGAUGUCGGCAUUGAAGGUCCAGAUGUGAAAGUGAAAGGUGGUAAACCAAAAGCUAAGUUAGGGUCUUGUUUCGGCAAGCCAAAGACUCCAAAGGUUGAAGGAGAAUAUAACGCAGGUGAAGUUGAACUUGAGGGUCCCGAGGUCAGUGCUAAAGCAAGUUUGAAAACACCCGAAGCUAAAGCAGAUAUUGAUAUUGAAUCACCAGACGUGAAAGUGAAAGGUGGAAAGGGAAGUGGGAAGCCUAAAAUGAAGUUUGGAUCAUGCUUUGGCAAACCCAAAGGACCUAAACUUGAAGCUGCUUACCAACCUGGAGAGAUAAAGGUUGAGGGACCUGAAGUACCAAAAAUACGAGUUGCAGUUCCUUCAGUAGAAGGCAAAUUGGAUGUAAGACCACCAAGUGCUGACAUCAGUCCCUCACUUGAAGUAGACAUUCCUGAAGUAAAAGGAGGGGUUGGAUUUGAUGUUGAUGUACCCAAAAUAGAGCCCAAAUUGAAAAUAGAAGGAGAUAUUCCAGAUUUACCAAAAGUUGAAGCCAAGCUGGGAGGCAAAGCAAAUGUUCCCGAAAUAAAGGCAGAUGUUGAUAUCAAUGCCGCCAUACCUGAUCUUAAACCUGAGAUAAAACUGGAAGGAAAUAUUCCAGACCUUCCAGAGGCAGAUGCUAGCUGGGAUAUUGGUGUAAACAUCCCUGGUAUUUCAGGGGAUGUAAAAGAACUGGAUAUAUCAUUGCCUGACAUACCAAGUCCAAAGAUUGAUGUAGAAAUGAAAGGUGAUUUACCAACUGUUGAUCUUCCUGAAGCUAAGAUUUCACUUCCAUCAGUCCCCGCUGUACCAGCGGCUGAGAUUAAGGGAGAAGUAAAGACUCCAGAAUUAUCUGGGUCAGUGAAGAUGCCACAACCUGAAGUGAAGGCCAAGAAAGCCAAACUAGGUCCAUGUGCUUGUCUAGGUAAACCAGGAAAAGUGAAAAAGGAAGAACCAUACAUGUCUGCUAAACUUGAAGGAAAAGCUCCAGGAGAGAUAAAAGGUGUAGAUGUGGGACUGGAGGUAGAAGGACCAGAAGCACAAGCAUCCAUCGGUGUGGAAGCCCCCGAGAUCAAGAGUAAGAAGGUAAAAGUAUCAGGAAAGCCUAAAUCAUCUUUAGGUUCUUGUUUCGGUAAACCUAAGACUCCUUCAGUAAAUGCAGAAUACGAAGCAGAUGCUGGUGUGGAAGCAUCAGUGUCUGUAGAUCCUCAUAUAAAGGUAGAGGGCGAAGGAGUUACUGGUCCCAGUGUUAGUGUUCCCGAGGGCAAGGCUAAUAUUGAUAUUGAAUCUCCAAAAGUCAAAGUAAAAGGAGGUAAACCCAAAGCUAAAUUGGGAUCAUGUUUCGGGAAACCGAAGGCUCCGGAAAUUGAAGGGGAAUAUAAGCCAGGUAAAAUUGAAGGCCCAGAGGCAAGUGUCGGAGCUAGUAUUAAAUCCCCAGAAGCCAAGGGUGACAUUUCAGUUGAGUCUCCAGAUGCUAAAAUCAAGACAGGAAAGCCCAAAGCUAAAUUGGGUUCAUGUUUCGGCAAACCCAAGAGUCCUAAAUUGGAAGGUGAAUAUAAACCAGCUAAAGUUGACAUUGAAGGACCAAGCAUUGAAGAGAGUGCCAGUGUUGAACCUCUUGAAGCCAGAGCGGAUAUUGACGUAGAUGCACCUGAUGUAAAGGUAAAGGGAAGUAGACCCGAGGCUGAUAUAGUCAUAGAUUCCCCAGAGGUGAAGGUGAAAGCCCAAAAGCCAAAAUCUAAGUUGGGAUCUUGUUUUGGUAAACCAAAGAGCCCCCAAAUUGAAGGAGAAUAUAAGCCAGGCAAAGGAGACCUGGAAGGUCCAGAAGUCAUUGUUGCUUCUCCUGAGGCUAAGGCAGAUGUCGGCAUUGAAGGUCCAGAUGUGAAAGUGAAAGGAGGUAAACCAAAAGCUAAGUUUGGGUCUUGUUUCGGCAAGCCAAAAACUCCAAAGGUUGAAGGAGAAUAUAAAGGAGGUAAAGUUGAACUUGAGGGCCCCGAGGUCAGUGCCAGAGCAAGCUUGAAAACACCCGAAGCUAAAGCAGAUAUUGAUAUUGAAUCACCAGACGUGAAAGUGAAAGGUGGAAAGGGAAGUGGGAAGCCUAAAAUGAAGUUUGGAUCAUGCUUUGGCAAACCCAAAGGACCUAAACUUGAAGCUGCUUACCAACCUGGAGAGAUAAAUGUUGAUGGACCUGAAGUUCCAAAAAUACAAGCUGAAAUUCCUUCAGUAGAAGGCAAAGUAGAUGUAAAAACACCAAGUGCUGACAUCAGUCCCUCACUUGAAGUAGACAUUCCUGAAGUGAAAGGAGGAGUUGGAAUUGAUGUUGAUGUACCCAAAAUUGAACCAAGGUUGAAAAUAGAAGGAGAUAUUCCUGAUUUACCAAAAGUUGAAGCCGAAUUGGGAGGCAAAGCAAAUAUUCCUGGUCUAGAUUUUGAAGGUAACAUACCCAAAGUUCCCGAAAUGAAGGCAGAUUUUGAUAUUGAUGCUUCCAUACCUGAUCUUAAACCAGAGAUAAAACUCGAAGGAAACAUUCCAGACAUUCCAAAGGCAGACGCAAACUUGGAUAUAUCAGGGGAUGUAAAAGAACUGGAUAUAUCAUUACCUGAUAUCCCAAGUCCAAAGAUUGAUGUGGAAAUGAAAGGUGAUUUACCAACUGUUGAUCUUCCUGAAGCUAAGAUUUCACUUCCAUCAGUCCCCGCUGUCCCAGCGGCUGAGAUUAAGGGAGAAGUAAAGACUCCAGAAUUAUCUGGGUCAGUGAAGAUGCCACAACCUCAAAUGAAGGCCAAGAAAGCCAAACUUGGUCCAUGUGCUUGUCUAGGUAAACCAGGAAAAAUGAAAAAGGAAGAGCCAUACAUGUCUGCUAAACUUGAAGGAAAAGCUCCAGGAGAGAUAAAAGAUGUAGAUGUGGGACUGGAGGUAGAAGGACCAGAAGCACAAGCAUCCAUCGGUGUGGAAGCCCCCGAGAUCAAGAGUAAGAAGGUAAAAGUAUCAGGAAAGCCUAAAUCAUCUUUAGGUUCAUGUUUCGGCAAACCUAAGACUCCUUCAGUAAGUGGAGAAUAUGCAGCUGAUGCUGAUGUUGGAGCAUCAGUGUCUGUAGAUCCUCAUAUUAAGGUAGAGAGCGAAGGUCUUGCUGGUCCCAGUGUUAGUGUUGAUGUUCCCCAGGGCAAGGCUAAUAUUGAUAUUGAAUCUUCUGAUGUUAAGGUAAAAGGAAGAAAACCCAAGGCCAAACUGGGAUCGUGUUUCGGUAAGCCUAAGAGUCCAGAAAUUGAAGGUGAAUAUAAGCCAGGUCAAAUUGAAGGCCCAGAGGCUAGUGUCGGAGCUAGUAUUAAAUCCCCAGAAGCCAAGGGUGACAUUACUGUUGAGUCUCCAGACGCUAAAAUCAAGACAGGAAAGCCCAAAGCUAAAUUGGGUUCAUGUUUCGGCAAACCUAAGAGUCCUAAAGUGGAAGGUGAAUAUAAACCAGCUAAAGUUGACAUUGAAGGACCAAGCAUUGAAGGGAGUGCCAGUGUUGAACCUCUUGAAGCCAGAGCUGAUAUUGACAUUGAUACACCUGAUGUAAAGGUAAAGGGAAUUAAACCAGGGGCUGACAUAGACAUAGAUUCCCCAGAGGUUAACGUGAAAGCCCAAAAGCCAAAGUCUAAGUUAGGGUCUUGUUUCGGUAAACCAAAGAGCCCCAAGGUUGAAGGAGAAUAUAAACCAGGUAAAGCUGAAAUUGAAGUCCCCGAGGUCAGUGCCGGAGCAAGUUUGAAAACACCUGAAGCUAAAGCAGACAUUGAUAUUGAAUCACCAGAUGUGAAAGUGAAAGGUGGAAAGGGAAGUGGGAAGCCUAAAAUGAAGUUUGGAUCAUGCUUUGGCAAACCCAAAGGACCUAAACUUGAAGCUGCUUACCAACCUGGAGAGUUAAAGGUUGAGGGACCUGAAGUACCAAAAAUGCGAGCUGAAGUUCCUUCAAUAGAAGGAAAAGUGGAUGUAAAACCACCAAGUGCUGAAAUCAGUCCCUCACUUGAAGUAGACAUUCCUGAAAUGAAAGGAGCAGUUGGAAUUGAUUUUGACAUACCCAAAAUAGAGCCUAAAUUGAAAAUGGAAGGAGAUAUUCCUGAUUUACCAAAAGUUGAAGCCGAGCUGGGAGGCAAAGCAAACAUUCCUGGUCUAGAAAUUGAAGGUAACAUACCCAAAGUUCCCGAAUUGAAGGCAGAUGUUGAUAUCGAUGCUUCCAUACCUGAUCUUAAACCUCAUGUUGAAUUCGAAGGAAGCAUUCCAGACCUUCCAAAGGCAGAAGCAAACUUGGAUAUAAGUGGAAACAUCCCUCGUAUAUCAGGAGAUUUAAAAGAACUGGAUAUAUCAGUGCCAGAUAUCCCAAGUCCAAAGAUUGAAGCAGAGAUAAAAGGUGACUUACCAUCUGUUGAUCUUCCUCAAGCUAAGAUUUCACUUCCAUCAGUCCCCGCUGUCCCAGCGGCUGAGAUUAAGGGAGAAGUAAAGACUCCAGAAUUAUCUGCGUCAGUGAAGAUGCCACAACCUGAAGUAAAGGCCAAGAAAGCCAAACUAGGUCCAUGUGCUUGUCUAGGUAAACCAGGAAAAAUAAAAAAGGAAGAACCAUACAUGUCUGCUAAACUUGAAGGAAAAGCUCCAGGAGAGAUAAAAGAUGUAGAUGUGGGACUGGAGGUAGAAGGACCAGAAGCACAAGCGUCCAUCGGUGUGGAAGCCCCCGAGAUCAAAAGUAAGAAGGUAAAAGUAUCAGGAAAGCCUAAAUCAUCUUUAGGAUCUUGUUUCGGUAAACCUAAGACUCCUUCUGUAAAUGGAGAAUAUGCAGCUGAUGCUGAUGUGGGAGCAUCAGUGUCUGUAGAUCCUCAUAUAAAGGUAGAGGGCGAAGGUCUUGCUGGUCCCAAUGUUAGUGUUGAUGUUCCCGAGGGCAAGGCUAAGAUGGAUAUUGAAUCUCCAGAAGUGAAAGUAAAAGGUAGAAAACCCAGAGCUAAAUUGGGAUCAUGUUUCGGUAAGCCUAAGAGUCCAGAAAUUGAAGGUGAAUAUAAGCCAGGUCAAAUUGAAGGCCCAGAGGCAAGUGUUGGGGCCAGUGUUAAAUCCCCAGAAGCCAAGGGUGACAUUUCAGUUGAGUCUCCAGAUGCUAAAAUCAAGACAGGAAAGCCCAAAGCUAAAUUGGGUUCAUGUUUCGGCAAACCUAAGAGUCCUAAAGUGGAAGGUGAAUAUAGACCAGCUAAAGUUGACUUUGAAGGACCAAACAUUGAAGGGAGUGCCAGUGUUGAACCUCUUGAAGCCAGAGCUGAUAUUGACACUGAUACACCUGAUGUAAUGGUAAAGGGAACUAAACCCGAUGUUGAUAUUGACAUUGAUUCCCCAGAGCUUAAGGUGAAAACCCAAAAGCCAAAGUCUAAGUUGGGAUCUUGUUUCGGUAAACCAAAGAGCCCCAAAAUUGAAGGCGAAUAUAAACCAGGCAAAGUGGAAUUAGAAGGUCCAGAAAUCAGUGCUGCCUCUCCUGAAGCUACAGCUGAUGUGAGUGUGGAAAGUCCAGAUGUGAAAGUAAAAGGAAAUAAACCAAAAGGUAAAUUAGGGUCUUGUUUCGGUAAACCAAAGAGCCCCAAGGUUGAAGGAGAAUAUAAACCAGGUAAAGUUGAAAUUGAAGGCCCCGAGGUCAGUGCCGGAGCAAGUUUGAAAACGCCUGAAGCUAAAGCAGACAUUGAUAUUGAAUCACCAGAUGUAAAAGUGAAAGGUGGAAAGGGAAGUGGGAAGCCUAAUAUGAAGUUUGGAUCAUGCUUUGGCAAACCCAAAGGACCUAAACUUGAAGCUGCUUACCAACCUGGAGAGAUAAAGGUUGAGGGACCUGAAGUACCAAAAAUGCGAGCUGAAGUUCCUUCAAUAGAAGGAAAAGUGGAUGUAAAUGCACCAAGUGCUAACAUCAGUCCCUCACUUGAAUUAGACAUUCCUGAAGUGAAAGGAGGAUUUGGAAUUGAUGUUGAUGUACCCAAAAUUGAACCAAAGUUGAAAAUAGAAGGAGAUAUUCCUGAUUUACCAAAAGUUGAAGCCGAAUUGGGAGGCAAAGCAAACAUUCCUGGUCUAGAAAUUGAAGGUAACAUACCCAAAGUUCCCGAAUUGAAGGCAGAUGUUGAUAUCGAUGCUUCCAUACCUGAUCUUAAACCUCAUGUUGAAUUCGAAGGAAGCAUUCCAGACCUUCCAAAGGCAGAAGCAAACUUGGAUAUAUGUGGAAACAUCCCUCGUAUAUCAGGAGAUUUAAAAGAACUGGAUAUAUCAGUGCCAGAUAUCCCAAGUCCAAAGAUUGAAGCCGAAAUAAAAGGUGACUUACCAUCUGUUGAUCUUCCUCAAGCUAAGAUUUCAUUACCAUCAGUCCCCGCUGUCCCAGCGGCUGAGAUUAAGGGAGAAGUAAAGACUCCAGAAUUAUCUGGGUCAGUGAAGAUGCCACAACCUGAAAUGAAGGCCAAGAAAGCCAAACUAGGUCCAUGUGCUUGUCUAGGUAAACCAGGAAAAAUGAAAAAGGAAGAGCCAUACAUGUCUGCUAAACUUGAAGGAAAAGCUCCAGGAGAGAUAAAAGAUGUAGAUGUGGGACUGGAGGUAGAAGGACCAGAAGCACAAGCAUCCAUCGGUGUGGAAGCCCCCGAGAUCAAGAGUAAGAAGGUAAAAGUAUCAGGAAAGCCUAAAUCAUCUUUAGGUUCAUGUUUCGGUAAACCUAAGACUCCUUCUGUAAGUGGAGAAUAUGCAGCUGAUGCUGAUGUGGGAGCAUCAGUGUCUGUAGAUCCUCAUAUUAAGGUAGAGGGCGAAGGUCUUGCUGGUCCCAGUGUUAGUGUUGAUGUUCCCGAGGGCAAGGCUAAGAUGGAUAUUGAAUCUCCAGAAGUCAAAGUAAAAGGAGGAAAACCCAAAGCUAAAUUGGGAUCAUGUUUCGGUAAGCCUAAGAGUCCAGAAAUUGAAGGUGAAUAUAAGCCAGGUCAAAUUGAAGGCCCAGAGGCAAGUGUUGGGGCCAGUGUUAAAUCCCCAGAAGCCAAGGGUGACAUUACUGUUGAGUCUCCAGACGCUAAAGUAAAGACAGGAAAGCCCAAGGCUAAUUUAGGUUCAUGUUUCGGCAAACCUAAGAGUCCUAAAGUGGAAGGUGAAUAUAAACCAGCUAAAGUUGACAUUGAAGGACCAAACAUUGAAGGGAGUGCCAGUGUUGAACCUCUUGAUGCCAGAGCUGAUAUUGACAUUGAUACACCUGAUGUAAAGGUAAAGGGAACUAAACCAGGGGCUGACAUAGACAUAGAUUCCCCAGAGGUUAACGUGAAAGCCCAAAAGCCAAAGUCUAAGUUGGGAUCUUGUUUCGGUAAACCAAAGAGCCCCAAAAUUGAAGGUGAAUAUAAGCCAGGCAAAGUGGAAUUAGAAGGUCCAGAAAUCAGUGCUGCCUCUCCUGAAGCUACAGCUGAUGUGAGCGUGGAAAGUCCAGAUGUGAAAGUAAAAGGAAAUAAACCAAAAGGUAAAUUAGGGUCUUGUUUCGGUAAACCAAAGAGCCCCAAGGUUGAAGGAGAAUAUAAACCAGGUAAAGUUGAAAUUGAAGGCCCCGAGGUCAGUGCCGGAGCAAGUUUGAAAACUCCUGAAGCUAAAGCAGACAUUGAUAUUGAAUCACCAGAUGUGAAAGUGAAAGGUGGAAAGGGAAGUGGGAAACCUAAUAUGAAGUUUGGAUCAUGCUUUGGCAAACCCAAAGGACCCAAACUUGAAGGUGCUUACCAACCUGGAGAGAUAAAGGUUGAGGGACCUGAAGUACCAAAAAUGCGAGCUGAAGUUCCUUCAAUAGAAGGAAAAGUGGAUGUAAAUGCACCGAGUGCUGACAUCAGUCCCUCACUUGAAGUAGACAUUCCUGAAGUGAAAGGAGGAUUUGGAAUUGAUGUUGAUGUACCCAAAAUUGAACCAAAGUUGAAAAUAGAAGGAGAUAUUCCUGAUUUACCAAAAGUUGAAGCCGAAUUGGGAGGCAAAGCAAACAUUCCUGGUCUAGAAAUUGAAGGUAACAUACCCAAAGUUCCCGAAUUGAAGGCAGAUGUUGAUAUCGAUGCUUCCAUACCUGAUCUUAAACCUCAUGUUGAAUUCGAAGGAAGCAUUCCAGACCUUCCAAAGGCAGAAGCAAACUUGGAUAUAAGUGGAAACAUCCCUCGCAUAUCAGGAGAUUUAAAAGGACUGGAUAUAUCAGUGCCAGAUAUCCCAAGUCCAAAGAUUGAAGCAGAGAUAAAAGGUGACUUACCAUCUGUUGAUCUUCCUCAAGCUAAGAUUUCAUUACCAUCAGUCCCCGCUGUCCCAGCGGCUGAGAUUAAGGGAGAAGUAAAGACUCCAGAAUUAUCUGGGUCAGUGAAGAUGCCACAACCUGAAGUGAAGGCCAAGAAAGCCAAACUAGGUCCAUGCGCUUGUCUAGGUAAACCAGGAAAAAUAAAAAAGGAAGAACCAUACAUGUCUGCUAAACUUGAAGGACAAGCUCCAGGAGAGAUAAAAGAUGUAGAUGUGGGACUGGAGGUAGAAGGACCAGAAGCACAAGCGUCCAUCGGUGUGGAAGCCCCCGAGGUCAAGAGUAAGAAGGUAAAUGUAUCAGGAAAGCCUAAAUCAUCUUUAGGAUCUUGUUUCGGUAAACCUAAGACUCCUUCUGUAAAUGGAGAAUAUGCAGCUGAUGCUGAUGUGGGAGCAUCAGUGUCUGUAGAUCCUCAUAUUAAAGUAGAGGGCGAAGGUCUUGCUGGUGCCAGUGUUAGUGUUGAUGUUCCCGAGGGCAAGGCUAAGAUGGAUAUUGAAUCUCCGGAAGCAAAAGUUAAAGGAAAGUCCAAAGCUAAAUUGGGAUCAUGUUUCGGUAAGCCUAAGAGUCCGAAAGGCAAAGGGGAAUAUUCUCCAAGUAAGGCUCAACUUGAGGGAGCUUCAGCAGGUGGAAUUGCAAGGAUUAGACCUCUUGAAGUUAAAGCUGACAUUGAUAUUGAUGCCCCUGACUCGAAUGUGAAGGCAGAUAAACCAAAGGGUAAGUUGGGAUCUUGUUUCGGAAAGCCAAAGGGUGCAGAAAUCAGCGGAGAAUAUAAACCAGGAAAAGUUGAAAUUGAAGGUCCUGCGAUCAGCACUGAAGCUAGUCUGAAAUCACCUGAAACAAAGGCUGAUAUUGGUAUUGAAUCACCAGAGGUAAAAGUAAAAGGAGGUAAAGCUACUGGAAAACCUACAACUAAGUUUGGGUCAUGUUUUGGUAAACCAAAGGGACCUGAAAUUGAAGCUGCUUAUCAGCCUGGACAAGUAGAACUAGCAGGUCCAGAAAUUCCAAAAGUACAAGUUGAAGUACCGGCCAUAGAAGGAAAGGUUGAAGUAGAAACACCAAGACCCAUUUCUGGUCCAGCAAUAGAAUUGGACAUGCCUACCAUUCCUGGAGUGUCUGGAGGAGUGGAAAUCAGGGCAGAUGUACCUAGAGUUGAUCCAGCAUUAAAAAUUGAAGGAAGUAUUCCAGAUUUACCAAAGGUUGAAGCCAGACUUGGAGGAAAAUCUGAUAUUCCAGAUUUGGAAAUUGGAGGCAAAAUAUCCACAUCUCCUAAAUUAGAUGCUGAUGUUGAUCUUAAAGCUUCUGUACCGAAAUUAGAACCAGAGGUUAAACUUCAUGGUGAUAUCCCACGACUUCCAAAAGGUGAUGCCAACUUGGAAGUAGAAGGCAGCGUCCCCACCUUCUCAGCAGACAUUAAAGGAUUAGACAUAAAAACACCAGAAGUUGAUGUCCCUUCCCUUCAUGCAGAGGUGAAAGGUGACUUACCCCACGUCGAAGGUCCAAAAGCCGAGAUCUCAAUUCCAUCUGAUCUCAACAUACCAUCAGGUGAAUUUAAGGGAGACAUAAAGACUCCAGAAUUAUCUGCCUCAGUAGAAGUGCCAAAGACAGUAAAAGCAUCUGGCAAACCCAAAAUAUCACUAGGAUCCUGUUUCGGUAAACCAAAGGAUCCUGUAAGUAAAGGAUACUCAGCCGAGGCUGAUAUCGGAGGAUCAGUGUCGCUAGAUCCACAUGCCAAGGUUGAGGGCGGUGUUACAGGUCCAAGUGUUACUGUGGCUGCACCUGAAGGUAAAGCUAAGGUGGAUAUUGACUCUCCUGAAGUGAACGUUAAAGGUGAAAAGCCUAAAGCUAAACUUGGCUCUUGUUUCGGUAAACCUAAAACCCCUAAAGUUGAAGGUGAAUAUAAACCUGGCAAAGCCUCAGUUGAAGGACCAGAGGUUAGUGGGAGUGCCAGAAUUAGAUCCCCUGAUGGUAAGGCUGAGAUCGACGUUGAUUCUCCUGACCUGAAGUUGAAGACAGGGAAGCCAAAGGCUAAGUUGGGAUCAUGUUUCGGAAAGCCAAAGGGUGCUGAAAUAAGCGGAGAAUAUAAACCAGGAAAAGUUGAAAUUGAAGGUCCUGAGAUCAGCACUGAAGCUAGUCUGAAAUCACCUGAAACAAAGGCUGAUAUUGGUAUUGAAUCACCAGAGGUAAAAGUAAAAGGAGGUAAAGCUACUGGAAAACCUACAACUAAGUUUGGGUCAUGUUUUGGUAAACCAAAGGGACCUGAAAUUGAAGCUGCUUAUCAGCCUGGACAAGUAGAACUAGCAGGUCCAGAAAUUCCAAAAGUACAAGUUGAAGUACCGGCCAUAGAAGGAAAGGUUGAAGUAGAAACACCAAGACCCAUUUCUGGUCCAGCAAUAGAAUUGGACAUGCCUACCAUUCCUGGAGUGUCUGGAGGAGUGGAAAUCAGGGCAGAUGUACCUAGAGUUGAUCCAGCAUUAAAAAUUGAAGGAAGUAUUCCAGAUUUACCAAAGGUUGAAGCCAGACUUGGAGGAAAAUCUGAUAUUCCAGAUUUGGAAAUUGGAGGCAGAAUAUCCGCAUCUCCUAAAUUAGAUGCUGAUGUUGAUCUUAAAGCUUCUGUACCGAAAUUAGAACCAGAGGUUAAACUUCAUGGUGAUAUCCCACGACUUCCAAAAGGUGAUGCCAACUUGGAAGUAGAAGGCAGCGUCCCCACCUUCUCAGCAGACAUUAAAGGAUUAGACAUAAAAACACCAGAAGUUGAGGUCCCUUCCCUUCAUGCAGAGGUGAAAGGUGACUUACCCCACGUCGAAGGUCCAAAAGCCGAGAUCUCAAUUCCAUCUGAUCUCAACAUACCAUCAGGUGAAUUUAAGGGAGACAUAAAGACUCCAGAAUUAUCUGCCUCAGUAGAAGUGCCAAAGACAGUAAAAGCGUCUGGCAAACCCAAAAUAUCACUAGGAUCCUGUUUCGGUAAACCAAAGGAUCCCGUAAGUAAUGGAUACUCAGCCGAGGCUGAUAUCGGAGGAUCAGUGUCGCUAGAUCCACAUGCCAAGGUUGAGGGCGGUGUUACAGGUCCAAGUGUUACUGUGGCUGCACCUGCAAGUAAAGCUAAGGUGGAUAUUGACUCUCCUGAAGUGAACGUUAAAGGUGAAAAGCCUAAAGCUAAACUUGGCUCUUGUUUCGGUAAACCUAAAACCCCUAAAGUUGAAGGUGAAUAUAAACCUGGCAAAGCCUCAGUUGAAGGACCAGAGGUUAGUGGGAGUGCCAGAAUUAGAUCCCCGGAUGGUAAGGCUGAGAUCGACGUUGAUUCUCCUGACCUGAAGUUGAAGACAGGGAAGCCAAAGGCUAAGUUGGGAUCAUGUUUCGGAAAGCCAAAAGGUGCUGAAGUCGGCGGAGAAUACAAACCAGGUAAAGUUGAAAUUGAAGGUCCUGAGAUCGGUGUUGAAUAUCCGGAAAGCAGCCUCUCAGAUGUGCCAAAAUUACCAGAUAUAGAAAUUACAGCCAGAGCUCCUGUUCCUCCAUCUCGCAAAGGGAAAGUCAGAUUAAAAGUAAAUACUCCUGAGGUACACAUCGGAGGUUCUGCUCCAGAAUAUGAUGGCAACAUAGACCUUAAAACUAACGUUCCUGAUGUCAUAGCAGGAACUGGGGUCGAUUAUAAAAUGGAUGAUCUCAACGCAAAACUUGCAGUUGAUCCCGGAUUUUCUGGCAAGUUUGGUCUGGAUGCUGAUGUACCCAAAGUGAGCGGAAGUGUAGGUGUUAAUGGGUAUGGGGGUGAUGUUAAUUUCAAUACGAAUAUUCCAGAAACUAGGUUUGGUGCACAUCUUCCUACCUAUGAAGGAGAUAUGAAUAUUAAACCAGAAGUUCCAGAUGUUAAGCUUGGGGCUAAUUCUGGAUAUGGAGAAAACCUCAAUUUAGACACAAACGCAUCAGGAUUUAACAGACGAUUCAAUGCCCCAGGAUUUGAUGGUGCAGUAGACUUGAAGACUAGUGUUCCAGCAGGUGAUGUUGAUAUAAAUAUUCCUAAUGUAGAUAGAAAAAUAAGAAUCGGAGGAACAGCAGACAUUCCUGGAUCUGGAGGCAAAAUUGGGUUGAAAACUGAUGUCCCAAAUGUCAAAGGCAGUGUUGAUUAUCCUGGAUUUGGAGGCAAAAUGGGAUUGAAAACUGAUAUCCCAGAUGUCAAGGGCAGUGCUGAUAUUCCUAGAUUUGGAGGCAAAAUUGGAUUGAAAACUGACGUUCCAGAAUUAGAGGCACGUGAUGAUAUUCCUGGAUUUGGAGGCAAAAUUGGAUUUAAAACUGAUGUCCCAGAUGUCAAAGGCAAUGUUGAUAUUCCUGGAUUUGAAGGCAAAAUUGGAUUGAAAGCUGAUGUCCCAGAUGUCAAGGGCAGUGUUGAUUAUCCUGGAUUUGGAGGCAAAAUGGGAUUGAAAACUGAUAUCCCAGAUGUCAAGGGCAGUGCUGAUAUUCCUAGAUUUGGAGGCAAAAUUGGAUUGAAAACUGACGUUCCAGAAUUAGAGGCACGUGCUGAUAUUCCUGGAUUUGGAGGCAAAGUUGGAUUUAAAACUGAUGUCCCAGAUGUCAAAGGCAAUGUUGAUAUUCCUGGAUUUGAAGGCAAAAUUGGAUUGAAAGCUGAUGUCCCAGAUGUCAAAGGCAGUGCUGAUAUUCCUGGAUUUGGAGGCAAAAUUGGAUUGACAUCCGAUAUCCCAGAUAUCAAGGGCAGUGUCGAUUAUCCUGGAUUUGGAGGCAAAAUGGGAUUGAAAACUAAUGUCCCAGAUAUCAAGGGCAGUGUUGAUAUUCCUGGAUUUGGAGGCAAAAUUGGAUUGAAAACUGAUGUCCCAGAUGUCAAGGGCAGUGUUGAUUAUCCUGGAUUUGGAGGCAAAAUGGGAUUGAAAACUGAUGUCCCAGAUAUCAAGGGAAGUGCUGAUAUUCCUGGAUUUGGAGGCAAAAUGGGUUUUAAAACUGAUGUCCCAGAUGUCAAGGGCAAUGCAGAUAUUCCUGGAUUUGGAGGCAAAAUUGGAUUGAAAACUAAUGUUCCAGAAUUGGAGGGACGUGCUGAUAUUCCUGGAUUUGGAGGCAAAAUUGGAUUUAAAACUGAUGUCCCAGAUGUCAAAGGCAAUGUUGAUAUUCCUGGAUUUGAAGGCAAAAUUGGAUUGAAAACUGAUGUCCCAGAUGUCAAAGGCAGUGCUGAUAUUCCUGGAUUUGGGGGCAAAAUUGGAUUGACAUCCGAUAUCCCAGAUAUCAAGGGCAGUGCUGAUAUUCCUGGAUUUGGAGGCAAAUUUGAUUUGACAACUGAUGUCCCAGAUGUCAAGGGUAGUGUUGAUAUUCCUGGAUUUGGAGGCAAAAUGGGAUUAAAAACUGAUGUCCCAGAUGUCAAGAGCAGUGUUGAUAUUCCAGGAUUUGGAGGCAAAAUUGGAUUGAAAACUGAUGUCCCAGAUGUCAAAGGCAGUGCUGAUAUUCCUGGAUUUGGAGGCAAAAUUGGAUUGAAAACAGAUGUCACAGAUGUCAAGGGCAGUGCUGAUAUUCCUGGAUUUGGAGGCAAAAUUGGAUUGAAAACAGAUGUCACAGAUGUCAAGGGCAGUGCUGAUAUUCCUGGAUUUGGAGGCAAAUUUGAUUUAAAAACUGAUGUCCCAGAUGUCAAGGGUAGUGUUGAUAUUCCUGGAUUUGGAGGCAAAAUUGGAUUGAAAACUGAUGUCCCAGAUGUCAAGGGCAGUGCUGAUAUUCCUGGAUUUGGAGGCAAAAUUGGAUUGAGAACAGAUGUACCAGAUGUCAGGGGCAGUGCUGAUAUUCCUGGAUUUGGAGGCAAAAUUGGAAUGAAAACAGACAUUCCAGAAAUGGAGAGCAGUGCUGAUAUUCCUGGAUUUGGAGGCAAAAUUGGAUUAAACACUGAUGUCCCAAAUGUCAAAGGCAGUGCUGAUAUUCCUGGAUUUGGAGGCAAAAUUGGAUUGAAAGCUGACGUCCCAGAUGUCAAGGGCAGUUUUGAUAUUCCUGGAUUUGGAGGCAAAAUUGGAAUGAAAACUGACAUUCCAGAAAUGGAGAGCAGUGCUGAUAUUCCUGGAUUUGGAGGCAAAAUUGGACUGAGAACAGAUGUCCCAGAUGUCAAAGGCAGUGUUGAUAUACCUGGAUUUGGAGGCAGAAUUGGAUUGAGAACAAAUGUCCCAGAUGUCAAGGGCAGUGCUGAUAUUCCUGGAUUUGGGGGCAAAAUUGGAAUGAAAACUGACAUUCCAGAAUUGGAAGGAAGUGCUGAUAUUCCUGGAUUUGGGGGCAAAAUUGGAUUGAAAACUGACGUCCCAGAUGUCAAGGGCAGUGCUGAUAUUCCUGGAUUUGGAGGCAAAAUUGGAUUAACAUCUGAUAUUCCAGAUGUCAAGGGCAUUGCUGAUAUUCCUGGAUUUGGAGGCAAAAUUGGAUUGAAAACUGACGUCCCAGAUGUCAAGGGCAGUGCUGAUAUUCCUGGAUUUGGAGGCAAAAUUGGAUUAACAUCUGAUAUUCCAGAUGUCAAAGGCAGUGCUGAUAUUCCUGGAUUUGGAGGCAAAAUUGGAUUAACAUCUGAUAUUCCAGAUGUCAAGGGCAAUGCUGAUAUUCCUGGAUUUGGAGGCAAAAUUGGAUUGAAAACUGACGUCCCAGAUGUCAAGGGCAGUGCUGAUAUUCCUGGAUUUGGUGGCAAAAUUGGAUUGAAAACUGAUGUCCCAGAUUUCAAGGGCAGUGCAGAUAUUCCUGGAUUUGGAGGUAAAAUUGGAUUGAAAACUGAUGUCCCAGAUGUCAAGGGCAGUGCUGAUAUUCCUGGAUUUGGAGGCAAAAUUGGAUUAACAUCUGAUAUUCCAGAUGUCAAGGGCAAUGCUGAUAUUCCUGGAUUUGGAGGCAAAAUUGGAUUGAAAACUGACGUCCCAGAUUUCAAGGGCAGUGCUGAUAUUCCUGGAUUUGGAGGCAAAAUUGGAUUGAAAACUGAUGUCUCAGAUGUCAAGGGCAGUGCUGAUAUUCCUGGAUUUGGGGUGAAAAGUGAUAUUAAAUCUGGCAUUCCAAUCCUGAAGGGCAGAGCAGGUUUUCCUGUGUCUCUCAGUAAAACUGAUGCACCUUGUGUUACAGGGGUGCUGUCUGUGGACACUAAUGUACCUGAUGUUGAUGUAGUGUCGCAGGGUAAAGAAGAACUGGGCACUGAGUAUAAAACAAAAAUUCCAUCUUUAAGUGGCACAACCCGAGUACCUGAGCCCUCUGCUUCCACGUCAUUAGAGGCAAAUAUUCCUGAAAUGAAGCUUGGGACAGUGACAGACUUCAAGCAAGAUCAAAGCUUCGGCUUGCCCGAGGUAAGCACGAAUGCUGGUGGUCGUGGGUCCAGAAAGAAGAGAAGAAAUGGUAAGAAGAAAGGUGCACCAGAAAGGAAGUCUGGCGACUUCGAAGAGGUACCAUCUGAUUCUCAAGGAAUUCUUAGUACUGAAGUACCAGAACUCUCUGCUCAUAUGAAGUUGGACUCCUUUAUACCUGGUGUGCCAGCACAUACACACGAAGGAAACGUAAUCAUUGCAGCUGAUCUACCAGAAGUCACAGUGAAAAGUAAAAUACCGAGAUUCACAAAAGUUUCAAAGGGAGAAGAUGUGCCGGGCGAGGAUUCCACCCGUCCAGGUGACCCGGUAGGUAGCUGGUCGGCCAGUCAGGUUAUUGGAACCGAGAUUAGUGGAAUUCCUGUAUUGAGUGGACGUGUUCCUGAAGCUCGUACAGACGUCACUUGUGUUCCAGAGAGACCACAGGUAGAAGGGGUAUUACAGGGAAACAUUCCAAACAUGACAAUCCAGUCAGGUACACCUCCCAUUGGGUGGGUUCUACCACAACCAACCACGCAAACAACCAUUAACCAGAAGGUUGUAGUUAGAGAAGGACAACCUUACACACAAGAAAUCUUAAUGCCACAUACGCAAGUUGUUAGCGAAUUGUCGCCAGGUCAAGUAGAAUUUUCACAAAGUGUUAUAUCUGAUGGGUCAAGUCCUCUUAAAGUUAGUAGAGAAUACACAAUAUCCACGGAGGGUGAGAGAGCCCAAGAUGUCGAGGCUUACAUUAAGGGUAAAUUAGGACCAUUCAAACUUACACCUGAGAGAACAUUGAGUGUUUGUAGGACAGAAACGAAGAUGGAAGAUCCUGGCCACGCAUUACCUAGCAGGUCUGGGGAGCAGCAGGGCCAGUUGGUGGGGCCAGAUGGCUCAGGCGAGUGGAUCAUGAGUCCGUAUUCUUAUCAAGUCAAAAUGGAAACAGACUCAGAGGGUAGAAUGUUAUCAGCUCCUGAGGUUACCGACAUACAGAGUAGAAUAACCGCCGGAGGAGACUCAGAUUCAAGAGGGAAUAAACAGUCACGAACGGUAUUCGUGACAGAAGAUGCUGGCGGGCGAGUGGUGGUACACAGAAGAAUGGAGUCUUCACAAACACACUCACCAGGGACAGAGGACCACACAGUAUUGACUCAUGAAUUUCCUCCAUCCAUAACAUCAACCAUGACAACAAGUGAAUGGCCGCUUGAGGGCGUUACUACACACAAAACCGUUCGGGUUAGAAAGGUUCGGAAAGUUAAAGUUGGAGAUGGACCAGAGGAAACAAUUGUUGAAACUGAGUACGAGACCAUCCCUGGCCAGGAGUCUGAUGCUCUUAGAAUAGAAGGUUUUGACAGUAGUGGGGAAAUGCGUGUCACACCGGGGACGGGGCAUGAUUUAUCACACCUGCCACCUGAACUUAGAGAAAGUUCUCUACUCCGCUUUGGCCUCGACCAAAGGGAGACACCUGGGGAAACACAACAGGCUGUUCAUACAACUGUAAGAAGACUACCAGUCGAAGAGCUUGGUACACAUUUACCUGAAGGAUUCGAUGAAAAUAUCCAUCAAAUUUUAGGGGCGACGGCGACAACGACAACAGUGCGGAAAGUGAAGGUAGUAAGAAGAGACGCUAGCGGUAAUGUCGUCGAAUACGAAGACGAGAGCGGGGAUCUAAGUUCAUUACUCCCUGAGAUGACCUCCGACGGUGUCACCACGACGACGACGACAACUGGUGACGGAGGAACGACCACAACCACACGAGUCAUAAGACGAGUGAUUACAGGCGACCUGACGGAAAGCGAGCUCAGAGAGGCUCUUGCCGUUAGGGAGUGUGAGGGCGGAGUAGUGGAGGAAGGAGACGAAGCUUCUGCCUCUCACAGAACACAGUGAGUCACUCCGAAUGAAACGAAUUAAAAUGUGUAUAUUUAUGCUGUGUAUGUGCUUGGAAAAUGUGCUAUUUGUGUAUAUAUAUAAAUAUAUAUGUAUCGUCAUGUAAGCUACAACAGCGUAUGUCCUUGUGUCAACACCUUCAAAUGACUGUCGUUUGUGUUAUACCUCGCUUCAAUAUAUGACUCCUGUACAUUGGACGUGCAGAAUCAUUGUGCCUUGAAAUGUAUGCUCAAACAAGUUCAAAAACCUUCAUACACAACGACAGAAUGGUGCCUUAUCUCCCCCAUGCAUGAGAACACAGCGUGCUGUGACUCCCGUAUAUCUACCCAACAAGAGCCAAGAUUCCUCCGCACAAAUCCCGUCCACUCUGCGCCACCAGUGAGGGAAGCUGACCAACUUCUUCAAGAUGGGUGUUCAGGAUGGAGCAGGAGUGGUGACUCAGGAGCCCCAGGCCCAAAUGUACAACUCUGCUCCUAUGACCAGCUCCAUCAGCACCGUUACUGACU